UACGUAGGGACCGAGCGUUGUCCGGAAUCAUUGGGCGUAAAGAGCGUGUAGGCGGCUUGUUAAGUCUUGCGUGAAAUCUCGGGGCUCAACCCCGAGCGGUCGUGAGAAACUGGCAGGCUAGAGUGCGGGAGAGGAGAGUGGAAUUCCUGGUGUAGCGGUGAAAUGCGCAGAUAUCAGGAAGAACACCGGUGGCGAAGGCGGGACUCUGGGCCGAUACUGACGCUGAGGAGCGAAAGCGUGGGGAGCGAACAGG
rnacentral:rRNA from 1 species